rnacentral:rRNA from 1 species
UGGGGAAUUUUGGACAAUUGGGCGAAAGCCUGAUCCAGCAAUGCCGCGUGUGUGAAGAAGGCCUUCGGGUUGUAAAGCACUUUUGUCCGGAAAGAAAUCCUUGGCUCUAAUACAGUCGGGGGAUGACGGUACCGGAAGAAUAAGCACCGGCUAACUACGUGCCAGCAGCCGCGGUAAUACGUAGGGUGCAAGCGUUAAUCGGAAUUACUGGGCGUAAAGCGUGCGCAGGCGGUUUGCUAAGACCGAUGUGAAAUCCCCGGGCUCAACCUGGGAACUGCAUUGGUGACUGGCAGGCUAGAGUAUGGCAGAGGGGGGUUAGAAUUCCACGUGUAGCAGUGAAAUGCGUAGAGAUGUGGAGGAAUACCGAUGGCGAAGGCAGCCCCCUGGGCCAAUANUGACGCUCAUGCACGAAAGCGUGGGGAGCAAACAGGAUUAGAUACCCUGGUAGUCCACGCCCUAAACGAUGUCAACUAGUUGUUGGGGAUUCAUUUCUAGUAACGUAGCUAACGCGUGAAGUUGACCGCCUGGGGAGUACGGUCGCAAGAUUAAAACUCAAAGGAAUUGACGGGGUC